rnacentral:rRNA from 1 species
AUGGGACUUCCACAACUAGCUCAAAACCCCUCUAGCUCGACAAGGGACCCAAAUGAUCGGAGCAUAUGGGAUCUAAUCUGGAAAUCCAAGGUGCCGGGGAAAAUACGAAUCUUUGGAUGGAGGGUAGCUACAAACACCCUAGCAACAAAAGAGAACAAAUGGAAGAGAACCCUUGAGUUGGAUGCUACCUGCAACAUUUGUGGACAUGGGACAUAAAAUGAAUAUCAUGUAGUGAUUAUGUGUACCAAGAGCAGAGCAUUAAGAGCUGCUAUGAGAGAGGUUUGGAGCUUACCUGCUGAAAACAAGUUCUGGUUCACAGGUGAAAACUGGCUGCAAGUAAUGCUGGACUCAGAAAGCGAGGAAACGCGCGCCAAGAUCCUGAUGUUAAUCUGGCGAUGCUGGCAUGUCAGGGAGGACUGCGUGCGAAAUAACGGCAGAGAGACA